GGGGUUGUGGCUCAGUGAUAGAGCACUUUCCUAACACGUGGGAGGCACUGGGUUCAAUCCUCAGCACCACA
rnacentral:tRNA from 1 species